GCAUAGAUGAGAGUUCUGACUCGUUAUCCGAUAGAAUGGAUGAGAAGCUGAGGAAAUGGGCAGAAUAUUUUGGAUUUGAUCCUGAGGAAACAGAACAAGAUGGCUAUGAGUAUAGACCAGAUGUUAAUUUUCAAAUUGAUUCAACUUAUGACAUCAAGGAUCUUGAUCUUAGAAAGCCAGGAGUACGUAAACCUGUCAAAAGGCCAGAGUUUAAAGUAACAACAGAGGAAGUUCUGAGAAAAGCUGACUUCAGGAAUGUUGAAUUCCUUGCAAACUUCAUAACAGAGGCUGGAAUUAUUAUUAAGAGGAGCCAGACUGGCAUAAGUGCCAAGGCGCAGAGGAAGGUUGCAAGGGAGAUCAAAACAGCUCGAGCUUUUGGUCUAAUGCCUUUCACCACAAUGGGUACAAAAUCAUUUGUUUUUGGGAAAACUAUGGAGCAUCUUGACAGGGACUUUGCAUAUGCGAGUAUCAAUGACCAGGUAGAGGAUGAUGCAAAUGUCGACCCUCAAGAAAAUUAGGAUGCGAUGUGAAAUUAACGUUAAGCUCUUCGACCCAAUUGUUCUCUUGGUUCGCCCGUUUGUUGGUGGGUGGCCCUGAUAAAU
rnacentral:misc_RNA from 1 species